rnacentral:rRNA from 1 species
GACGAACGCUGGCGGCGUGCCUAACACAUGCAAGUCGAGCGGGGUUGAAGCGAGAGGUAACUCGAGCUUCUACCUAGCGGCGGACGGGUGAGUAACGCGUGGGCAACCUGCCUCAAGGUUUGGGAUAACAGCCCGAAAGGGCUGCUAAUACCGGAUAUGCCUAUGGCCUCGCAUGGGGCUAUGAGCAAAGGGGAAACCCGCCUUGAGAUGGGCCCGCGUCCCAUCAGCUAGUUGGUGAGGUAACAGCUCACCAAGGCGACGACGGGUAGCCGGCCUGAGAGGGUGACCGGCCACACUGGGACUGAGACACGGCCCAGACUCCUACGGGGGGGCAGCAGUGGGGGAUCUUGCACAAUGGGCGAAAGCCUGAUGCAGCGACGCCGCGUGAGCGAAGAAGGCCUUCGGGUUGUAAAGCUCUGUCUGGAGGGACGGAACAAAAUAGAACGGUACCGUACCCGGAGGAAGCCACGGCUAACUACGUG